GCGCACCAGGCGAGAAACUUCACACUGUGCGAAAGCACGAUGAGGGAAUCCCAAGUGCUUGCACGUAAGUGUAAGCUGUUUCUCUGUUUAAAACGCAGAGAGAGUAAGGGCUGGGUAAGACGGGUGCCAGCCGCCGCGGUAAUACCUGCAGCCCAAGUGGUGACCGUUAUUAUUGGGCCUAAAACGUCCGUAGCCGGUUUAAUAAAUGCCUGGGUAAAUCGUGUAGCUUAACUAUACGAAUUCCGGGUAGACUGUUAAACUCGAGACCGGGAGAAGUUAGAGGUACUCCUGGGGUAGAGGUGAAAUUCUGUAAUCCUAGGGGGACCACCAGUGGCGAAGGCGUCUAACUAGAACGGAUCUGACGGUGAGGGACGAAGCCCUGGGGCGC
rnacentral:rRNA from 1 species